rnacentral:rRNA from 1 species
UACGGAGGGUGCAAGCAUUAAUCGGAUUUAUUGGGCGUAAAGGGCGCGUAGGCGGGGAUAAUAGUCAGAUGUGAAAUCCUGGGGCUCAACCUCAGAACUGCAUUUGAAACUGUAUCUCUAGAGGGUAGGAGGAGAAAACGGAAUUCCACAAGUAGCGGUGAAAUGCGUAGAUAUGUGGAAGAACACCGGUGGCGAAGGCGGUUUUCUAUCUUAUUCCUGACGCUGAGACGCGAAAGCGUGGGGAGCAAACAGG